rnacentral:rRNA from 1 species
CCCUUAGAUGUUCUGGGCCGCACGCGCGCUACACUGUUCGACGCAGCGAGUCUUAACCUUGACCGAAAGGUUUGGGUAAUCUUCAGCAAAGUCGAACGUGAUGGGGAUCGAUCAUUGCAAUUAUUGAUCGUGAACGAGGAAUUCCUAGUAAGUGCAAGUCAUCAGCUUGUGCUGAUUACGUCCCUGCCCUUUGUACACACCGCCCGUCGCUACUACCGAUUGAAUGGUUUAGUGAGAUCUCUGGAUUGACGCUGGCUAGGGGGCGACCCUUGGCCAGACUGCUCGAGAAACUGCUCAAACUUGAUCAUUUAGAGGAAGUAAAAGUCGUAACA